GACGAACGCUGGCGGCGUGCUUAAUACAUGCAAGUCGAACGGAAAGGCCCUGCUCUUGUGGGGUGGUCGAGUGGCGAACGGGUGAGUAACACGUGAGUAACCUGCCCUUGACUUUGGGAUAACUCUAGGAAAAUGGGGCUAAUACCGGAUAGGAGCUUCUGCUGCAUGGUGGGGGUUGGAAAGUUUCGGUGGUUGGGGAUGGACUGGCGGCUUAUCGGCUUGUUGGUGGGGUAGUGGCGUACAACGGCUUUGACGGGUAGGCGGCAUGGGAGGGUUGCCAGCCACAAUAGGACUACGAUACGGCCCAGACUCCUACGGGAGGCAGAAGUGGAGAAUAUUGCACAAUAGGCGGAAGCCUGAUGCAGCAACGCCGCGUGCGGGAUGACGUCCUUCGAGUUGUAAACCGCUUUCGCCUGUGACGAAGAGUGAGUGACGGUAAUGAGUAAAGAAGCACCGGCUAACUACGUG
rnacentral:rRNA from 1 species